UGGCCUUGACAUAGACAGAAUUUAGUAGAGAUAUAAAAGUGCCAGUUUACUGGAGCUGUUAUGCAGGUGCUGCACGGCUGUCGUCAGCUCGUGUCGUGAGAUGUUGGGUUAAGUCCCGCAACGAGCGCAACCCUCGUGUCUAGUUACUAACAGUUCGGCUGAGGACUCUAGACAGACUGCCUGGGUAACCAGGAGGAAGGUGAGGACGACGUCAAGUCAUCAUGGCCCUUAUGGCCAGGGCUACACACGUGCUACAAUGGGGUAUACAGAGAGUCGCAAUACCGCGAGGUGGAGCAAAUCUUUAAAAUAUCUCCCAGUUCGGAUUGAAGUCUGCAACUCGACUUCAUGAAGUUGGAAUCGCUAGUAAUCGUGAAUCAGCAAUGUCACGGUGAAUACGUUCCCGGGUCU
rnacentral:rRNA from 1 species